GGCGCGUUCGUCUAGCGGCUAGGACGGGACCCUUUCAAGGUCCAGAGACGGGUUCGAUUCCCGUACGCGCUA
rnacentral:tRNA from 1 species